rnacentral:misc_RNA from 1 species
UGCUCUUGACGAGCACUUUCCCAAAUCCAAAACCCAGGCUGCCAGGCCAUUUAUUAUUUGUAUGGAACUGGAUUAUUUUUAACCAAAUUGAUUGAAUAUUUCACAAUGAAAAGAGUGUCAUUUUAUAAAUGAUUUAUCAAUACAAGAACAAAUCACAAACUAACUCCUUCUGUAUUGUUGUAAUGCAUCAAUGACAUCAACAAAAUUCAUAUCAUUGUAGAAGUUUUUUUUUAAUUGACAAUGUUGGUUUAAACACUAAUAAAAUAUUUUUUUUAUCUAGAAAAAAGAGAAGUGGAAGCAGAGACAAGGGUCGUGACAAGGACAGAGACAGGGACCGAGAUAGGGAUCGAGAACGUGACAGGGAUCGUCGCAGGAGCAGAAGUCGAGACCGUCAUAGGGAUGGAGACAAAGAAAGGCAUAGGGGUCACGAUCGACAUAGAGGGCGUGACCGAGACAGAGAACGACGAGAAAAACGGCGUAGUAAAAGCCGAGAAAAACGCAGGAGGAGUCGAAGUAAAUCAAAAGAACGCAAAAAAAGUCGAUCCCCAGAAAGAGAAAGAAGACAGAGAAGUAACAGCAAAAGCCCCAUGAGAUACACAAGACAGCCAGGUCCUGAGUUAACUCCAGAAGAAAGAGAUGCAAGGACUGUUUUCUGUAUGCAGCUCUCUGCUAGAAUUCGCCCAAGAGACCUUGAAGAAUUCUUCUCCUCUGUGGGAAAGGUCAGAGAUGUGAGACUAAUCAUGGACAAUAAAACAAGGAGGUCAAAAGGCAUUUCUUAUGUAGAAUUCCAGGACACUGAUUCUGUACCAUUAGCCAUUGGACUUACUAAUCAGAAAUUACUGGGUGUUCCUAUCAUAGUACAGCACUCUCAGGCUGAGAAAAACCGAGUAGGAAACCCUACAAGCAUCUUAACAAAAGGAAAUAUUGGACCUAUGAGGCUGUAUGUGGGUUCUUUACACUUCAACAUAACAGAGGAAAUGCUCAGGGGAAUAUUUGAGCCAUUUGGAAAGAUUGACGACAUUAAAUUGAUCAGAGACCAUGAAACAAACAGAUCACAAGGAUAUGGUUUUAUAACAUUCCAUGAUUCGGAAGAUGCAAAGAAAGCUUUAGAGCAGCUCAAUGGGUUUGAGCUGGCUGGCCGUCCAAUGAAAGUAGGCCAUGUGACGGAGAGACAGGGAGAGAUCCAGGGGGCUUCCAUGUUGGACAGUGAUGAGAUGGACCGGGCAGGGAUAGACUUGGGAGCCACUGGUCGCUUGCAGCUGAUGGCUAAAUUAGCAGAAGGCACAGGUUUCCAGAUACCUGAGUAUGCUGUGUCAGCGCUGAACAUUACUCAGCAGGCACCAGGAGUUGCUAGUGCUGCACCUCCUGCUGGACCAGCCCCUAAUGUGUCGGCUAUACUGGGUAGUCAGGCUGCUGGACAAGAUAGCACUGCCCCUCCAAUAGCUACCCAAUGCUUCAUGUUGUCCAACAUGUUUGAUCCUAAUGCGUGAGUAUGGUUUAUAAAUGUAGUUCUCUUGUAAAAUGCUUUAUUAGAAUUUCAAGUUCAAUACCUACCGUAAUGUAUCGUGUAUGAUACGCACUCGUGUAUAAUGCGCACCCCAAAGUUGACCAAAAAAUGGCGAAAAAACAGCAGGUCCUAUGUAUAACACGCACCAAAAAAAUUGCGAAAUAUACGGCCGCCAUUUCCCCCCAAACUAUCGAUGAUUCAUGAUAAUUUUAUAAUCCAUGCGUAAUAUCUUUAAUUUUGUGAUCGAAACAUUUCACAGGGAUGAAAAUCGACGGGCGCCAUUUUUCCAAAUAACUAUCGAUGUUUAAUGAUAAUUUCUUAACCCAAGUGCAAUUACUGUAAUUUUGUGAUUGGAACAUGGCACAAGCGAUAUUUGAGUCAAAGUUCUUACAAUUUUACUUAAAAAGGACGGCAUGAUUUACAUGGGCGAUAUAAAAUAUCAUUAGACACUUCGUAAAGAGUUUCUUAUACAACAGCGGAGAAGUUGAAGAAAAGAACGGCAACGGAGCUUAGUGCUUAAAAGUAAUAAUGUUUGCAGAUAUACACCAAAACAACAUCAAAAGAAAUGAUUUAAUUGAUUAAAUAUAGUCAAACUCAUUGAAUGUUGUUAAAUAAACAUUGUGAAGAAACGUAUGUAUGUCGUCAUUAUGAUCGAAGUAUUUUUAGCAGUGUCUAUCUAAAGCAUUAACGUUUAACUGCAUAACUUGACACAAAGUAAUCAAGUUUAAUAAAAUCAGAAUAAUCGCUAAUCUUCCUGCACUUAAAAACACCCUGUGAAGUCCGACACAAGACAGAUGCAUGCUUCUGACACUGGAUUUUGUUAAACAAACAUUGACCACGCGCCGAGUCAACAGGUGGCUGGUUACGUAAUGGCGAAUACACUGGCGAUAUUUAAACUCGUUUGAUGCAAGAAAUAGUGUUGAUGAGAAUAAAUAUUUCAAUACAUGGAAAUAAAACUAAGAAUAAGGUAUUUCUGAUGCCGUAAAUUUAGUAUACACUAAUGCAACUUGCAUAACACGCUAUAUUGUCAGUCACUACUCCCGUGGUAUCAAGAAUCACGGCUUGAAAAAAUGGGGUAAAAUUUUAGUCCUCUGUACACCACGCACCCACACUCUGAUCAAAUUUUGGCUGAAAAAAAUGUGUGUUAUACAUGCGACAUUACGGUAUUCAUAUACAGUAUAUGAUAAAUAUCGAAUCCAUGUUUAUUUCAGAGAGUCUCGGUCAAGCUGGGAUCAGGAAAUCAGGGAUGAUGUGAUAGAAGAAUGUAACAAGCAUGGUGGAGUCCUACAUCUGUAUGUAGACAAGGCUUCACCCCAAGGAAACGUCUAUGUCAAGUGUCCCACGAUAUCAGCAGCUGUUGCCUCUGUUAGAGCACUUCAUGGGAGGUAUUUUGGAGGCAAAAUGAUUACAGCGGCCUAUGUGCCCCUCCCAAACUACCACUCCCUGUUCCCUGAUGCAGUGAGAGCCAAUCAGCUGCUGCUUCCGUCGACCCAGGCGCUACAGGCCGGAUUCCCCAGCACCAUGUUCCCAGCCAUGCAGCCUGUCAUCAGAUAGCUGUGUGUGUUACCCAUCCAUUUUAUCAAAACAGAUCCAAGUCAUUACAGAAGAGAACUGUACACAGAAUGGACCUCAUGUGGUCAUUAAUCAUCUAAUAAAACUGGGGGUGGGGGGUUAUGUCAUCAUGAUCAUUUGUAUCGAUUAAAUCUACAUGGUAUUAUGCUCAUGGUUUGUAAACUAAUUUUACAUUUUCUUGAUGAACAAUUGUAUAAUUGAUUCAGCUCUGUAUUGUUUUAAUGUGAUUUUACCUUUAUGAGGCUCACGUUUAACCCAACUUUUAAUUACGAUUGGGAGACGAUCAUCUUAGUUGAAAUUCAGUCAUCUACAAAAUGAAUGAUGUGCAUUCUAAAUCAAAGAUGAAUCAGCUGGAAUAUCUUUUAUUAUGGAAACCCAAUGGGAAAUAAAAACUCCAAAAACU